GGGCGGAUAGUCCAGCUUGGUAUGAACGCUGCAUUGGCAUUGCAGAGGCCGCGGGUUCAAAUCCCGCUCCGUCCACCA
rnacentral:tRNA from 1 species